rnacentral:rRNA from 1 species
UACGUAGGGUGCAAGCGUUAAUCGGAAUUACUGGGCGUAAAGCGUGCGCAGGCGGUUGUGCAAGACAGAUGUGAAAUCCCCGGGCUUAACCUGGGAACUGCAUUUGUGACUGCACGGCUAGAGUGCGGCAGAGGGGGAUGGAAUUCCGCGUGUAGCAGUGAAAUGCGUAGAUAUGCGGAGGAACACCGAUGGCGAAGGCAAUCCCCUGGGCCUGCACUGACGCUCGAUGACACGAAAGCGUGGGGAGCAAACAGG